rnacentral:rRNA from 1 species
GUUGUCCGGAAUCAUUGGGCGUAAAGCGCGUGUAGGCGGUCCGGUAAGUCCGCUGUGAAAGUCGGGGGCUUAACCCUCGGAUGCCGGUGGAUACUGUCGGGCUUGAGUACGGAAGAGGCGAGUGGAAUUCCUGGUGUAGCGGUGAAAUGCGCAGAUAUCCGGAGGAACACCGGUGGCGAAGGCGGCUUACUGGACCGACACUGACGCUGAGGAGCGAAGGCCAGGGGAGCAAACGGG